UACGAAGGGGGCUAGCGUUGUUCGGAAUUACUGGGCGUAAAGCGCGCGCAGGUUGUUUGUUAAGUUGAGAGUGAAAUCCCGGGGCUUAACCUCGGAAUUGCUCUCAAGACUGGCAGACUAGAGUAUGGUAGAGGAGAGUGGAAUUCCUAGUGUAGAGGUGAAAUUCGUAGAUAUUAGGAGGAACACCGGUGGCGAAAGCGACUCUCUGGGCCAUUACUGACACUGAGGCGCGAAAGCGUGGGGAGCGAACAGG
rnacentral:rRNA from 1 species